rnacentral:rRNA from 1 species
CAGCAGCCACGGUAAUACAGAGGGUGCAAGCGUUAAUCGGAAUUACUGGGCGUAAAGCGCACGCAGGCGGUUUGUUAAGUCAGAUGUGAAAUCCCCGAGCUUAACUUGGGAAUUGCAUUUGAAACUGGCAAGCUAGAGUCUUGUAGAGAGGGGUAGAAUUCCAGGUGUAGCGGUGAAAUGCGUAGAGAUCUGGAGGAAUACCGGUGGCGAAGGCGGCCCCCUGGACAAAGACUGACGCUCAGGUGCGAAGGCGUGGGGAGCAAACAGGAUUAGAUACCCCAGUAGUCCCUGUCUCUUAUAC